CGCCGGGAGUUGUAGUCCGGGCGGGCGCACGGGCUGUGGGGACUGUGGCCUGGUCUUUGUGGGGCAGUGGUGGCGAUCUGUACUGAGCACCCAGUGUGGGCCUGCGCUGUUCCAGAUCAGAUUCUGCAGCGAGGAGGACAGGCAUGGCCGGCCUCCGUGGAGCCAAUGUUGUAUGAGGAGGCAGAUGGUUAUCAAAGGAACAAGCCAGUUCCCUAAGGAGCUGGCAUCCUAGCUGAACAGAGGGAAGGACUCAGGGAGAAUGUUUCAGGGUGAAGUCGACAAAUCAACAUUUGUCAUCUUGGUUUUUUUCAGAUCAGGGAAAGUGAGCACAGGGCAUAUCCAAAGACUUGCCACAACCCCUCACGGGGAUGGUAAUGGAAGUCAUCAGAGAAGACAUUUCAUGGGGCUCUGCCUUCCCAGACUGGUGCUCCUGAGGCCUGCUCAAGGAACCAGAACAGAAGUUCUGCUGGAGAUGUGGAGGAACAUUUGCUUUUCUGGGAAGAAGAUUUAAAGCAACAGUCAGUUCCUGACAUGGAAACUCCUAGUGAGGGGAGAGGCUGUGGAGGCAGUGAAGUUGUGAGAAGUGUCAGGAUACCUUCCAGCCCUAUCAAACAAGAGAGUGUUGCUGUGGAGAAGAAACCGCACAUGUUAGUUGCACAUGGAGGGAGCUUUGAGCAAGUUCCAGGGCCAGCUGUGUUGUAGGCAGCCUGUGUGAACAGGAUACCCUGAAGGUGCAGCUUCUGUGGGAAGAGUUUCAAGCAGCACUUGGCCCUCAGUGUGCACGAAAGGACUCACACGGGGAAAAGCCCUAUCCAUGCAGCACCUGUGUGAAAGUCUUUUGGUGCUGGUCCAACCUCACUGUGCACCAGAGGAUCCACACUGGAGCGAAACCCUACGAAUGCCAGGAGUGCGCGAAAGUCUUCAUUCAGAACUCCACACUCACACUGCACCAGAGGACCUACACCAGAGAGAAGCCAUACAAAUGCAGGGAGUGGAGCAAGGCCUUCCAGGGAAGUUCAGACCUGUGGAAACACCAGCAGAUUCACACAGGGGAGAAGCACUAUGAGUAUCAGGAGUGUGGGAAGGCCUUCAGGUGGAGCUCGCCCCACAUCUGCCAUCAGAGGAUGCACAGUGGUGAAAGGCCAUAUGCGUGUGGCUGGCGCAGCAAGGCCUUCAUCCAGAGCUCACAGCUUAGCCAGCACCAGCAGAGUCACAUGGGUAAGAAGCCUAUGAGUGCCCAGAGUGCAGCAAGGCCUUCAGCCUGAGCACCUACCUUGCUGAGCACUAGUGGAUCCACAUGGGCGAGAAGCCCUGUGCCUCCCUGGAGUGCGGCAAGGCCUUCAUCCAGUGCUAACACCUCAGCCAGCACCAGCGCACCCACACGGGUGAGAAGCCAUACAUGUGUGUUGAGUGGCAAGGCCUUCCACUACAGUUCAUUUCUCCUCCAGCACCAGAAGCUCCACCCCAGGGAAUAGCCCUGGUGGCUGUGCUCUCACCAUGUCCUAUGUCACCUCUCACCAUCCUGAAGGCCUGAGGCAGCACAUCACCCUCGUCCUGUACCUCACAGGCUCUCAUUGCUUCUCUCCCCUAUGCUGGGCUUUCCCCCCUCACCUGCUCCUUUUUCCAUUUUCUUUCCCUUUAAAAGUUUUUAACAUUUU